CCGCCUUCUGGACCAAUCAGCUGUCAGCGAGGAGUAGAGCGGCGCGCGGCUGGUGCCGGGCUGGGAGAAGUCCGGGGACACGUGUGAGCGCUGCCUGCCCGCUGCCUGCCCACCGGGGAUGAGCGAUGAGAGGUGACUGCGGGGGGAUCACAUCACAGGUGAGCUUAUAAAGAGAUGCUUACAGUGUGCUGCGAAUGGUUGGGACACGUUGCUGAUGGGUCCUGAAUGAGAUGCCCUGUGGAUUGAUCUGUGACUUUCAGGUCUAUCAUAAGAAAGACAAAUCCAUUAACAACGUCGAAAGUAGCCUACUUUAAGAGGAAAUAUGCAGAAGAAGAAAAUGUACAUCAAGAUUGCCAAGGAUGUUUUCCAAAACACCUGAUAUUACCUGAAGACCGGACUUGCAUUCUUAAACUCUCUCUUGAGAAGCUCCGGUUCUUGGAAGACCCCGAAAUCUACUUACGGAGGUCCGUGCUGAUCAAUAACCUGCUCAGGAAAAUCCACCUGGAAUCCGAUAAGGAGAACUAUGAAUACUACAAGGGGACCCCCAACAACAAGAGUCCUUAUACAGACUCUCGAAAACGGGUGAAACUCAUGGUAAAAGGUUGCUAUUCUCAAUCUCUGUACUAUGAAGAGCUGAGGUCAUAUCAUAUUGUGCCUUACACUACGGAUGAUGUCCUCUACCAGAUGGGCUACAAUGGAGGUCACAUGGCACAAAACUCUCAGCUGCUUAUUUAUCGGAUGAAAGAGUGACUGCCUGCUCAGCUGUACUCUGGUCCAAGUCAGCUACAUCCAGAAAUGGAAACGCGAUAAAACAUGGUUUCGCUUGCAAGUAACUUCUUUUUUUGUGGAACAAAAACGACAGGUGAAAUAUUGACUUAAAGCAGUUCUGUUGGUCAGUAUAUCAGAUGCGUAAUUUUACAAAUGGCAUAGCUUUUCAUCACAUGUAUGCAUAGGAUGCACAUAUGUCUGUUGCUCUGGCAAAUCUUUGAGUCCCACCGGGUGAUAGCUAGGCAUUGUAAGAUUUUUUUUUUUUUUUUCAGUUUUUAGAUUAUUUUUUUUUGUAUGAGUGGAGCUUUGUUUACUAUUAGACUACAACCAAACUUCUGAAACAAACAUUCUAGCUUAGCUUGGAGAAAUGUUUUGUUAUCUGCAGUAUUUUUAAAUGUAUGAUUCUUUAUAAGCUGUUUAUAAGUUGGUUUACAAAAAAAUGUCAUGGAUACUGAAAGGUCCCUUCGGGUAUAGGCUUCUUAAACUGCCUACGUUGCUUAGUUAAAAAAAAUUAAAGAACCUGGACCUGCAAAAGAAGAGGCUUUAGACUUGCAUGUCCUUUUCCCGUUUCUCCAAUGUUUGCUUUGUUGCAGAGAAACAGCAUCUCUACAUCUGAGUGUGGCGAAUGCCUGGUCCCCCGCUAUGCUCUGUGGCUCCUUACACAAACC